rnacentral:lncRNA from 1 species
GCUAUUCAAAGUAUAGCCAUUACUUUGGUGUCCCCAAAAAGCUGAUGGAGAUGAAGGCUCAGAUCUACUGUGUCAGAACAAGCUCUUCAUUUUGUUUUUAAUGGUGCUGUUGCUGGAGAACAAACCUGGGCCUCACGAUGGCUAGGCAAGUACUUUUCAUUUGGCCAUACCCCACACCCAGGAUUGACCCCAGGGGUGCUUUGCCACUGAGCCAUAUCCCCAGCCCUUUGUAUUUUGAGACAGGGCCUCACUAAAUUGCUAAGGCUGACCUCAAAUUCACAUAUUUGGCUCCACGACUUUUUUUUUCUCCUGGUACUACAGAUUGAUGUCUCCAUUGUAGAGGUCCUAGGGUUGCCUAGGACCUCUACAAUGGAGCUGUAGUCCCAGCCCUUUUGGUUCUCUUAAUUUUUUUUUUUAAUAUUUUGAGACAAGGUCUCAGUAAAUUGCCCAGGCUUACAUAAAAAAUCUGUGAUCUUCUUGCCUCAGCCUACCUAGUCACUGGGAUUAUAAUCAUGUGCCACCAUGCUCAGCCAGAAUCCACUUUUAAAUAAAAUCCUAGCUGGAUGCAAUGGUACAUUACCGUAAUCUCUGCUACCUGGCAGACGAGGCAUGAGGAUGGCAAGUUCCUGGCCAACCUGGGCAACAUAAAGACAGGAAUGUCAGAAUUUUGAAAUCAACUGGCAGUACUGUAGAACCCAGUCUACAAAGUAGUGAACAGGCUGUCAUUCUAGAACCUGGGUGCUCAUUUUCAAUUCAGACCACAGGUGUUCCAGACAUGUUCUGAGGCAGGAUGGAGACAUCAAUGUCCUAGGUUCCCUUCCAAAUGAACUGAGGAAGAACUCUUGCAGUUCUAGAACCUUGGUGUUGUCUAGGUGAUCACAUUGCAGAUUUCAGAACCUGGGUCUUCAGAAUGCAGGAUGGACAGCAGCAUUCAAGAACUGCAAUGGGAGAGUCACUGAUGGACCAUGAACUUCCUAGAGAAUCACUGAGGACUGAGGGUGGACUACUGGUGUCCUUGAACUGUGGCCUUUAGCAUGUGAAAGUGCAGCCACUGAUGGCAAGUGACACACUUCAGUUUCUGGAUUAGGCUCUCAAAUGGGCCAAAGGCACCAGGAUUGGCAUUGU